rnacentral:rRNA from 1 species
AACGUAGGUGGCGAGCGUUAUCCGGAUUUACUGGGCGUAAAACGCGUGCAGGCGGUCUGGUAAGUCGGGCGUGAAAUCUCUCGGCUCAACCGAGAGAGGUCGUCCGAUACUACCGGACUUGAGGGCAGUAGAGGAAGGUGGAAUUCCCGGUGUAGUGGUGAAAUGCGUAGAUAUCGGGAGGAACACCAGUAGCGAAAGCGAUUCUCUGGUCCAGUUCUGACGUUGAACUGCGAAAGCUAGGGGAGCAAACAGG